AUUGAACGCUGGCGGCAGGCCUAACACAUGCAAGUCGAACGAGUGGCGGACGGGUGAGUAAUGUCUGGGAAACUGCCUGAUGGAGGGGGAUAACUACUGGAAACGGUAGCUAAUACCGCAUACCAUCAGAUGUGCCCAGAUGGGAUUAGCUUGUGGGUGGGGUCACGGCUCACCAAGGCGACGAUCCCUAGCUGGUCUGAGAGGGUGACCAGCCACACUGGAAAGGGGACACGGUCCAGACUCCUACGGUGGGCACCAGUGGGGAAUAUUGCACAAGGGGCGCAAGCCUGGUGCAGCCAUGCCGCGUGGAUGAAGAGGGCCUUCGGGUUGUAAAGUACUUUCAGCGGGGAGGCGUUACCCGCAGAAGAAGCACCGGCUAACUCCGUGCCAGCAGCCGCGGUAAUUC
rnacentral:rRNA from 1 species